rnacentral:rRNA from 1 species
CCUACGGGUGGCAGCAGUAGGGAAUAUUGCUCAAUGGGGGAAACCCUGAAGCAGCAACGCCGCGUGGAGGAUGAAGGUUCUCGGAUUGUAAACCCCUUUUGUUAGAGAAGAUAAUGACGGUACCUAUCGAAUAUUCACCGGCUAACUCCGUGCCAGCAGCCGCGGCUAUACGGAGGGUGCAAGCGUUAUUCGGAAUCACUGGGCGUAAAGGGCGCGUAGGCGGGAUAGCAAGUCAGAUGUGAAAUCCUAUGGCUUAACCAUAGAACUGCAUUUGAAACUGUUAUUCUAGAGUAUGGGAGAGGUAGGUGGAAUGCUUGGUGUAGGGGUAAAAUCCGUAGAGAUCAAGAAGAAUACUCAUUGCGAAGGCGGCCUGCUAGAACAUAACUGACGCUGAUGCGCGAAAGCGUGGGGAGCAAACAGGAUUAGAUACCCUUGUAGUC